AUCCAGCUGACGAGUCCCAAAUAGGACGAAGCAUACUUCCUAGAU
rfam:Schistosoma curassoni strain Dakar, Senegal genome assembly, scaffold: SCTD_contig0001569